CCGUUUGUUUGUUCCCAUUCUCCUUCAUUUUCUCGAUCCUUCCCUGCAUAGAUACAUACAUACAACUAUAGAAAACGAAUCAAUUAAGUUGCCAGUUAGUUCGUUAGAAAUUGAAAAUGUUUCCUUAAUUAUUUCUUCAAACACAAUAUCUGUUUCCUUCUGCAACAGUUAUCAUCAGCACUGGUCUAUGUUCUGCCUAAUAUGCUGAGUUAUUGAUGAAAAGAUCCUCUUUUUCCUUCUUUGAAUGAUGAGAGUCAUGAGAUAUAUACCUCCAGUUUAUCUUUGAUAAGAGGGGCUGCUGGCCUAGAAGUCAACGCAUUAAUCUCUAGAUUAUCCAUGGUGAUCGCCU
rnacentral:lncRNA from 1 species